rnacentral:rRNA from 1 species
GACGAACGCUGGCGGCGUGCUUAACACAUGCAAGUCGAACGGAAAGGCCCUGCUUUUGUGGGGUGCUCGAGUGGCGAACGGGUGAGUAACACGUGAGUAACCUGCCCUUGACUUUGGGAUAACUUCAGGAAACUGGGGCUAAUACCGGAUAGGAGCUCCUGCUGCAUGGUGGGGGUUGGAAAGUUUCGGCGGUUGGGGAUGGACUCGCGGCUUAUCAGCUUGUUGGUGGGGUAGUGGCUUACCAAGGCAUUGACGGGUAGCCGGCCUGAGAGGGUGACCGGCGACAUUGGGACUGAGAUACGGCGCAGACUCGUACGGGAGGCAGCAGUGGGGAAUAUUGCACAAUGGGCGGAAGCCUGAUGCAGCAACGCCGCGUGCGGGAUGACGGCCUGCGGGUUGUAAACCGCUUUCGCCUGUGACGAAGCGUGAGUGACGGUAAUGGGUAAAGAAGCACCGGCUAACUACGUG